GCGGCUUCUGCCAAGGCCGGCGCGCCUGCGCGCUCCUGCGUGUGCCUUUGGAGCUCGUACAGGCGGCUUCCCCGGCUCUCCGGUGGUGGGAGGACAGGGUUCUGCGGUGCCCUUUGUCGACCCCGCUGUGCAGGGCAGGGAAGGUCAGGAUCGCGAAGAGCCAAGUUCGAGCUCCGAUAACUCUCCGUGCCCUUAGAGGGUGGGGCGGGGAGGCGUGACUGCCCUUGAUGAUGGAGACAUUUAUUAUAAAAUCAUUUCUCGUGGAACAAGAACAUGUACUUUCAUGGUGCAAGGCUGCCUGAUGUUUCCCAGGUUUCAAUGGCCCAGGCAGAUAAAGAAAACUCAGCAAGGUCAGAAGAAAGAAGAACAGAUCUAUCCUUAAGUAGGAAAAAUAACCGUGUUCCAAGUAUACAGAACGGGAACAAAUGAAGUAUUUCUGGUCAGAGUUUCCAAGUGGAUAUGGUUAUUACCGAGAAAGGCAGACUCACGGACCCAGCUCCCCACUCGGCCACGUAAGAAUGGGCCUUGGACCUGGAACACUUCCUUACCAAGGGUCUUCUAAAGGCUACAGAGUCUUCACUGUGACUGGCAGAAAAUUACAGCUUCUUCUCACUGCAUUAUAACCCAGAAUAUGUGGAAACUUUAAAAGAAUGUUAUUGUAAGCUUCUAAGUCAAAUCUCUCAUUUCUUUCUAAAUUUCUUUGGAAAUUUCCCAUGUAUAUUUAAAAGAGAAUCAUAUUGUAUUUGUCUUUGUAGCUGUAGUUUUCCUGUUAGGCCAGAGUAUUAUCUAUCUAUUUCUGUAUAACAAUUACCCCAAAACUUACUGACCUAAAACAAUAAAA
rnacentral:lncRNA from 1 species